UGAACAAAAAAAGACAUUUAUUGACCAAACUUGAGCUUGUUUUCACACAAGCAGGGCCUGGCUGUAGCACCAUCCUGUGGGGUGCAGCCCCCCCAAAACCAGCCCUGAGGGAGCUGCAGGAGCCCCCCAAAAAAAAAAUAUAUAUUUUUACAUUCAAACAUCUUUUGUAUCACCAGCUCUGUAAAAAUGGAUAUAUUUUACAGAUUUAUAGAUAUUUACAGGCUCUCUGUAGCUCCCCCAGCUCAACAUUUUGGGGUUUUUUUUUUUUCCGUAUUUGAUAUUUCUGAAAUGUCCUUGUGCUGUUUGGGGUCAGGGCACAGCUGGGUGUGAGCCCAGGGACCUCUGAAAGGAAAAUUUGGGAAUGGGGAUCCCAAAUCCAUGGGAAAGGAUCCCAAAUCCAUGGGAAUGGGAUCCCAAAUCCAUGGGAAGGGAGAUCCCAAAUCCAUGGGAAGGGAGAUCCCAAAUCCAUGGGAAGGGAGAUCCCAAAUCCAUGGCAAAGGGAGAUCCCAAAUCCAUGGGAUGGGAGAUCCCAAAUCCAUGGGAAUGGGAUCCCAAAUCCUUGGGAAUGGGAUCCCAAAUCCUUGGGAAAAGGGGUCCCAGAGUUCCCAACAUUUCCAUCUCCACAGUGCUCCUGCUCCAGUUCAGGCAGGGCAGCAGCAGCAGAAGGUGCUAUUUCCAGAAAAAAAAAUAAAAAUAAAAAAAAAAUUUAAAAUAAAACCCCACAAAAGCCUCAAACAUCUGCUCCAGCUCAGCCCAGCCCAGGGCUGCUCCUGGAUGGUUCUUCUGGGAUUUCCAGGGAAGAAAAUUCCACUUGAGCUCCCUGUUGAUCUGGGAUUUUUAGGGGUAAAAAUUCCACUUGAGCUCCCUGUUGAUCCAGGAUUUUUAGGGAUGAAAAUUCCACUUGAGCUCCUUGUUGAUCUGGGAUUUUUAGGAGAACACCAACUCUUCUGGGAUUUUUAGGGGUGAAAAUUCCACUUGAGCCCCCUGUUGAUAGCAGAGCACCAACUCUUCUGGGAUUUUUUUAGGGAUGAAAAUUCCACUUGAUCUCCCUGUUGAUCUGGGAUCUUUUAGGGAACACCAACUCUUCUGGGAUUUUUUAGGGAUAAAAAUUCCACUUGAGCUCCCUGUUGAUAGCAGAGCACCAACUCU